UUAAGUGUUCAUCCGUUCAGAAUACUUGUUUCAGACUUUCAGUGAUUCAGGCGUCGAGGUGGGGUGUCAUCUGGGAAAGAGAACCCAGCGCCAUCCCUCUCCCCUCCUCCUCGAGCCCGCCAUGCGCACGAGACCAGGUCCAUGCCCGCAGCCGAGCCGGCGGAGAGCACGGGCGAUGAGCGGAGGGGCACUUUUCGCCGACGGCAGGGAGCCGCCGCCCGGCCGGACCAUCCCAGAUCCGGCCGCCGCCGAUUUGGGGGGAGGCGGCGCGGUGAGGCCCGAACAAGGUGACACUUUCUUCCCCACACAGUUGCCGCAAUGUUCGUUUCGAAUCGAACCCCUCCGCCGGAAUCGAAUCUGGGUGGCUAAUUUGAUGGUUUGAAUGUCGGAGUUGGAGUCUAUUUGGUUCUAAGAUAAGAAUCCUUCCCUGAAUCCAGUCCGGCCGGAAACCUGCUUGUUCACUUCCGGUCGGUUCUUGGCGGCUCCGAUUUCUACUUUACUCCGACUACGACACAGCCAUGAUCAAUCGACGCAGUUAUAUACUGCAGGUAGGUAGUCCAGUCAGGAGUCACGGGUUUUGUCUUCCCGAACCUAUCCUCACGAGAAAAUCGUAAACCCGUCCCUGUCUCCAUCAUCGUGUGCGGGGCUAGUUUUCUGCCUGUCCCCUAAACUCAUUGGGUUUCGGGGAACCCACGGGGAACCCACGAUAAAACCAAAAUAUUUAAACAAACAUAGUGGUGACAAAGAAUAACACUUCAACAACAAAACAAGCACAUUUCAGCAGCAUAACUUAAGUAAAUUUCAACAGAAAACAAUAGUAGAUGGUUCAACAGCUAUAUAAGUUCUGAAGUAGAACUAAUAGUUCACAAAUCACAUUAAAGUUGGAAUCAUCAUGACAUCUUUCACAUCUCCAAGCCUCCAAACGACCAUCUUCAAAUCUUUCAAUGCCAAAUCAAAGUGCCGAGUACUACGAAAGAUCAAAACUCGCUCAAGCUAAAGUUAAACAUGAGAAAAAUAUGCACAAGUCCAAAAACUUAGUCCUUAUUCAUUGUCAGCAUCUAUGAGAAUCAAAUAAGUAGUAAUGAACAUCUUAUGAAAUAUUGCAACAAGAUAAUGAUAAACUUUAUGAUGAUAUGUAAAGAAAGACACAUCUUUAUAUUUGUUUCUUAUCCAAUCUUAUGAACACAUCAAGGCCUCUAAGAUUUCGGGGAUAAGAUGACUACGGUGAUAAAAAAAAUAAUGUAAUUUCGCGGGUAUUGCCGGGUUUCGGGUUCGGGAACUACCGAAACGGGUGUAAACCCACGAAACGUGUUGGGUUGUGGUUGUAUAAUGUGCCCAACAACAGCCCCACGGGGAUGAAAAGAUGCCCAUCCCCGUCCCCUAAUAGGGUAAAAACCCAUGGGGACGUGGGUUUCGGGGCCCAUUGCCAUCUUGAGUCAGGAGGCAGAGAAAAGCAGAGGGACAGGCCAUAGUAGCCGGAAACGGGGAACGAUGGACCGUCCCUCGAUCCGGAUUCAUGGUCCCGGAAUCAGAUUCAAGAACGAGGAUCGAUUCGGUAAGAUUCGAUGCGGAUUCGGCGUUUCCGCAGUGGGAUUGUUGAUUCAGAUUCGUCGACUCGGCAGUCCUGGUUCGUGAAUCGAUUGGAUGAUUUAUGGAUCAACGACACAGCCCAGCCAAUUCUUGUAUAAGUACUCCCUCGUCCCUCUCCCUCCCAGUCCCAGCCAGUUGCUCCCUGCAUCCAGUGACCAGAGGCGCAUGCAGCAGCAGAAAUUCAGAUUCAAAACCAGCGAUGCUUCAGAAGACUUGAUUGCUCGAGGAUCCAAGAGUCCAGUGACAUUCAAGCAUCCGGUUUUCAGAUUCAGAGAUUGCGAUGGCGUUUGGGUCGAAACGUAAGUUAGCAGAUCGGAGUGACAUCCAGGAGGAUGACGUUGAUGAUGUUGAUCUCAUCAAUUCCGAUGAUGAGCGUAAUAGCGCUGAUGAACAAGAUGAAUCUGCCGAGCAUGGUACUGCAAAACCUGCUAAAUCCCUUCUAGAUGAGGUAUUUUUUCUUGAUGCACCUAAAGGGAAGAACUCUGGUGGACCAAGACCCUGGCGAUGCAAACAUUGUGAUAAGAAGUACACGAGUAGUUAUACAAGAAUUCAUCAGCACUUCUUUGGUGUUGGUCCUGGCAAGACGAAACAAAUUGCUCGCUGCUCUGUCGCAAGUGAUCGCGUCAAGUAUAAGAAAAUAUAUGAUAAGUAUCACCAACCUAAGAAAGUACAAGCUACAGGCUCGGCGCCUAAAAAGCAAUUAGUAUAAGCUUUUGCUGGGGUGGAAAGAGAUGCAGUGGACAUGCAAAUAAUGUUGUUCCUUUGUGCUAAUGGAAUUCCCUUUAAUGUGUUGAGAAGUCCUCAACACUAUGAAAUGGUAGCAGCCAUCCAGAGAGCACCAAAGGGAUACAAACCUCCUGCAUAUGAGAAGGCUAGGACUACUCUUCUAGAUGCAUGUAAGAGAAAGGUGGAGAAUGAUUUGGCUCCGGUUAGACAAACAUGGUAUUCCCAUGGUGUCUCUGUUGUUUCUGACGGAUGGACAAAUAUGAAGAACCAUCCAUUAAUCAACGUAAUAGCAUCGAAUAGCUGUGGUUCAAUGUUUCUGUACGCAGAAGACUUCUCCGGAGAAGAGAAGACAGGUGAAGCCAUUGCACAAUUCUUACUGCAAGCCAUUGAGGAGAUUGGCCCUUCCAAUGUCCUUCAGGUCAUCACUGAUAAUGCAUCUAAUUGCAGAGUUGCGGGUGAAGAAAUUGAGAAAGUGCAUAAGCAUAUAUUUUGGUCUCCAUGUGUGGUUCACACACUGAAUCUAGUAUUCAAAGAUUUUGCAAAAAAAAGUUUGCUUGGAUGGUUGAUACAUACCAGACUGGGAAAGCAAUUGUGAAGUUCUUUAGGAACCACCAGCACUUUCAAGAUCUCUUUAGACGCAACUCCAAGUUGGAUCUUUUGAAGGUCUCAAAAACAAGAUUUACUUCUCAUUAUAUUGUGCUUAAGAGGCUUAUGGAUGUUCGAGAGGCGCUCACAACUACCAUUGUCACAAGAAAGUGGAAGGAACUGGUGAAGGCUUGUGAUGUACAAACAAGAGCAGCAGCAAAUGCGAUUGCCCAAAAUAUCAUUGAUGAGACAUUUUGGGAUGAGAUUAAAAUCAUCCUUGACAUGACAAAACCAUUAUACAUGGUAAUCAAGUUCAGUGACGGAGAAGGUCCAAAAUCUGGUGAUAUAUAUGAAAGAAUGGACAAUAUGCUUGGCGAGAUGCAAGAAGUCAUGACAAGGGAAGAUAACCCUCACAAAGAUGAUUGGUCGAAGGUAAAUGAAAUUAUUCUUUAUCGGUGGGGAAAGAUGAACUGGCAUUUUCAUUGCUUAGCGUUUGCUCUUUCUCCUAAGUAUUAUGAUCAAGCCUAUCUUGCAAGUCCUGCUCCUGGUGGUGGUCAAAGGAAAGCUCCAAAUGAUGACAGUGAGGUUAUGGAAGGUGUUAUAGAGGCUCUAAAUAGAAUUGCAGAAGAUAAAAAAGAGUAUGCUCUUUUACGUGAGGAGCUUAACACCUUUAUAAUGAAGAAAGGUUUGUAUGCAAUAGACGCCGUUCAGGCUGAUGCAGCCACGAUGAAUGCCACAUAAUGGUGGUUCAAUUAUGGCUCACAAACUCCAACUUUAAGUGAGGUGGCAAAGAAAGUCUUGUCUCAGCCAAUAAGCAGCUCCUCUGCCGAAAGAAAUUGGAGUACCUACUCAUUCAUACAUAAUGUAAAGAGAAACAAGCUGAAUGCAACGACAGCCGAUAAGCUUGUCUUUAUUCAUGCAAACGAGCGUCUGAAGAGGAGGUUUUCAGAGGGCUACAAUUCAGGUCCACAUUAGGAUGUUGAGCCUGAGAAUGAUUUGCUGGAGGAUUCAAGCUUGAAGCUUGAGCAGCUGCGUUGGGAUAGCUUGGAGGAUGAAGCAGCUGAUGCUGAACCACCACACAAAAUUCAGAGGACUUGAAACACUAGGAAGUGUCCGGUACAUGGCGAGUUAAUCUGUUGGUGAAACUUUAUUGGUUGGAAACCUGGAAGAUGAGUCACUUGGAUGCUGCUAUUGAAGUGAUUGUGUCUGUUACCUUAGUCAAUCUGUUUUCUUGUUUGCUACUCUGGUUAAGUCAAGUAUUUUGUUAAGUACUCGUGCUGAAAUUUUAAUUAAAUAUAUCAUGUCUUAUCAUCGUUCA